ACCAGGCGGCGCGGGCGGAGGGCGCGCGGGCGCGCCCCUGAGGCCGCACGCCUGCUCGUAGGCGAGGCGUGGUCACAAGCGUGUGCGCGCGCCCGCCGGCCCCGGCCCGUUUCCCCGAAAUUCGCCCCUCGGCGUCGAUGCGCAGACGUGGGUUUGGGAGUGAGGCCUCAGGGACUGCGGGGCACAUGAAAAGGACUGUCAGUGGAGGAGUCACUCGGUGCUAGCAGACAGAGGAGAAUAGAAGCAUUCCCAGAGAACUUCCCAGAAGGUGAAGAAACUGGGCCCGUCUACUGAGGCUGUUUUCUUGGAGCCCACCGGAUGUGACGCUUCUAGUCUGCCGUGGUACGAAGCCACUACAUAGUGUGAGAAUCUCGUGACUGUCUGGCUAAUGGGAUAAAACUCCUCUCUCGGAGCUCCAAGAUCUGCUUGCUCACUUUGGGUGCUUUUUCCCCUCAGUCUUGCUGAGUUAACACUUAUACUGAAUCGCCUGAAAUCAAAUUGUAGAGAUCUUAUCUUCAGUGUAUUGCAAUGACCUUCUUAGCUGACCCUCAAGUAAUUUAACGCAUGUCCUAAUGUUCAAUUAAAAUUGCAUCAAAUAGGU